GAGCAUGGUUAUGUCAAGCACC
rnacentral:misc_RNA from 1 species